GGUAUCAGGAGGAAAGGUGGUGACAGUGUACAGGUAGUGCGAUAAGCAAUAGCGUAAGUGAGAACAGAUACGGGAUUACAAGUGUCCACAGGCCAGUUAUCAGCUGAUUUGUGUCAUUCUCACCGGGUUUCAACAUUUGCUGUUUUCGUUAUACAUCGAAAGGGAAGGGAUCAUAAAGACAUGACUAUUCUGAGUAAGCUCUCAACAAUAUCCCAGUCCCGAGAUGCAAGGCUAUUUGGAGCUACUUCCACAGCAGCUUUCCUAUAUUGGAUAUAUUGUGUAUCUAGAGGAGGCAAUCGUAAUAGGAAGUUGGCAAAAGAUGAAGUGAAAUUUGUUGUUAAUGACGCUGGCAGUUCUGGCGACAAAAGGAGAGCACAGGUUAGUAAUUCCUAGUUGCCUUU